AGGAAUUGGCGGGGGAGCACUACAACGGGUGGAGCCUGCGGUUUAAUUGGAUUCAACGCCGGGAAGCUUACCGGGGGAGACAGCGGGAUGAAGGUCGGGCUGAAGACCUUACCAGACUAGCUGAGAGGUGGUGCAUGGCCGCCGUCAGUUCGUACUGUGAAGCAUCCUGUUAAGUCAGGCAACGAGCGAGACCCGCGCCCCCAGUUGCCAGCGGUUCCCUUCGGGGAAGCCGGGCACACUGGGGGGACUGCCGGCGCUAAGCCGGAGGAAGGUGCGGGCAACGGCAGGUCCGUAUGCCCCGAAUCCCCCGGGCUACACGCGGGCUACAAUGGCCGGGACAAUGGGUACCGACCCCGAAAGGGGUAGGUAAUCCCCUAAACCCGGUCUAACCUGGGAUCGAGGGCUGCAACUCGCCCUCGUGAACCUGGAAUCCGUAGUAAUCGCGCCUC
rnacentral:rRNA from 1 species